AGGUGAAAUUUAUAACCAAAAAUAUAUUUAUUUGAAGGAGAAGCUUAGUCUAUUUAAUCCUUAGGGAGAGACUUGGAUUAGAUACCCUAUUAUUCUAAGGAGGAAAUUUUUAUACUUGAUUAUUAUUUGUUAUGUGCUUGAAAUUUAAAGAAUUUGGCGGUAUUUAAGUCUGGUCAGAGGAACCUGCUUCUUAAAACGAUAACCCCCGAAGGAUCUUAUUUUUCUUUGUUUUUCAGCUUGUAUACCUCCAUUAUUAGAUAUAGUUAAUAAAAUUUUAUUUUAAUAUAGAUGAACGUCUUAUAGUAUAUUAGGUCAAGGUGCAGCUAAUAGGAAAAUUGAUUGUGGGUUACAUUUUUAUAAAAAAUUCGGAUAAAAGUUUGAAUUAAAUUCUUUGAAGUUGGAUUUGAUUGUAAAUUUUAUUUAAUAAGUAAAAUUGAUAUUAGCUCUUAAAUAUGUACACAUCGCCCGUCGCUCUCAUGUUUAAAUUGAGAUA
rnacentral:rRNA from 1 species